CAGUAGCCGCGGUAAUACGUAGGGCGCAAGCGUUAUCCGGAAUUAUUGGGCGUAAAGAGCUCGUAGGCGGUUUGUCGCGUCUGCCGUGAAAGUCCGGGGCUCAACCCCGGAUCUGCGGUGGGUACGGGCAGACUAGAGUGAUGUAGGGGAGACUGGAAUUCCUGGUGUAGCGGUGAAAUGCGCAGAUAUCAGGAGGAACACCGAUGGCGAAGGCAGGUCUCUGGGCAUUAACUGACGCUGAGGAGCGAAAGCAUGGGGAGCGAACAGGAUUAGAUACCCGGGUAGUCCCUGUCUCUUAUAC
rnacentral:rRNA from 1 species